AACACAUGUAGUGAGUCUGGUGAGAGGGGUUCCCCCAGCACAAGCCUCUGCAUCACAUGGGGAUGGGAAUAUAUCUUCAUGGCUCGUGGCUUCUGUGAACAUGCUCGUCAUUCCCUGAUGGUAGUUUCUUAAGAUCCUCUUUUUUUCCCCACAAAUUCUGUCUUUUAUGAUUGUUGGCUUUGAAAAGAAGAGAAACCCUGCUAAUAUUUCUGUAAUAAAAAGAUUGGCAGCUGAGCAAUGACUUCUGAUUUGAAUUAACUGAUGUUGGAUGAUCCCUAUGUGCCUUACAUCAGUUUUCAGAACUGCUGUGGUAUUGUGGUUUUAAAAAAACUCCUAUAUACUUUUAAAAAUAAUUUUUGCAACAGAACGUUUAAAUAGGCCAUUGAUUUGCUAUUUUGAUUUUAAAUGCUUGUUGUAAGCAGUUGACCAAACCUAGAUCCUUGUGAUAUCAAUGUAUGUAGGACAUGAAAACUUUGGAGACUCUUGUUCCUAAGUAGGUAGGUGGCAUUUACAGAGCGAGUAACUGGAUGUUCUGAAAAACAAACCCAACCAACUCUCAAACAUUUUCAAUCUGUGUAGAGUGCCUUUGCUCCCUACUGCUCUGGCCUGUUUCUGUAUCCAGCUGAGAGAUACUUUGAGGCCAAUUAAUUUUUGCAGCAGGAUUUUGAAAACCUGCUAAUGAAAAAAGCACGCAUGGUAUGAAACAAAUAACUACAAUUGCAAUAGCUGGGAGUUUAGCAGGACUUGAGUGGGCCAGGGCAGAGAGAUUUUGAAGGAAUCCAGGCUAGCAUAUACCUUCCUGGUUUCAGGAGAUUUUUCUUCUCUUUCAUCCUCUUGUUUUGGAUGCUUGUCCAUUUAGACCCUUCCAUGUAAGGCAUCCUAAGGGUUCCUAAGGGUUUUGAGGGACAUGUGAGAACUUUAUGCUUCAAGGUAUAAGCCAAGCUUACAGUUGAUAAGGAUUAGGAAGAAAGUUCAUUUGAGAAGAUAUUUUUCCAUAAUGUAGACCUUCUGACACAUUUUUUUAAAGUAGCUGUUACUGCCUUCUGAGAAAGAUGGCAUACAGGACAAAUUGGCCCUUUGAUCCAGUAUGUUAUUUUCUCAUCUCUAAAUGUCCCUUAAAGCAAAGUCUUCAGAUUUAUUUCUAAGAUAUUGGUAAGAUGCUUUCUUUAUCCCAAGGCAUUAUGUUUAGACAAACAGUUUCUAGGUUUUUUUGGGAAACAUUCUUCCUCUGCAGAUCACAGCUGUGCUGUUUGCCUUCCUGGUGCUUUGUGUUUGCCUUUCUCUGCUGCUCACCUCAGUCACGAGAUGAAGGAUGUUUCUGCAUUUCAUUCUGGAGUGCCAGAUAUGCUGUGGUCUGCUGGGGGAUCCUCUGCACUCUGUACUUUAAGAUAAAGCUGCUUCUCUGUGCUGAGAGUGCCCUGGAAAAGAUUGGCCAGGAGGAUGACUAUCCUUUCCUUAAAAUUCCUGAAUUCCUGGGAUUCUCUGCUCCCCAGUCCUGUAUUGUAUGCUAGUAUGUAUUGAUCAUCUCUCCUAGGACGGAUGCCUGCAGCUAAAAAAGCUGAGAUGGAGCAGAUGGGGGGCUGGUGAUGAGCAGGAAAAUGGAAAGUAUAUGAUUUUUAUGUUAUAGCAAAUUAAUAUUUGCAGAGACAAAGUAUUUGAUCUGAUAACAGAGGUUCACUUGAAAGAAGCAAGGUUAUUUUAUGUCAAUUUUCUCUUUGCCCUAUAUAAGAUGCAUUUAAUUAUUUCAUGCUAUCUCCUUCUAUUCAAAUUAAUCUGCCUUAUAUAUAUUGUUGCUCAAAUUACAAUAAUUCUUUAAUCAGCUGUGUUAUGCAUACCAUAGAAGGCUAGAAUAGGAAAUCUACUCCUAGCGUACUGACGAUGCAUGUAUUUUAUUUGUUGUUGUAAUUUAAAAGUAAAAUCAGAAAUAUUGAUUUCUACUUGACUGGAGAGAUGAUUUAGUUUGAAUAUCAGACUGAUCUUAAUCAGGUGAGAAUUAAUUGAGUUGGAGGUAUUAGAUAUUCAGUGAUGUUAACUGAACCAUGAGCAAUCUACAGAGAAGCUUUCAUUUGUACUGUGUUGGAAAUAUCAAAUAGCUCAUACUCUACAAUGUAAAACAAUCUCUUCAUGUUCAUGCUACUACUUCCUCUGGCUCAUUAAAUGCACCAGUAAUCUGUUCUGUGCAUACUGAGUCAUCUUCAAAGUAACAAGCUAAUGAAUCAUAAUUUAAUACAAAAUUAAUACAAAAGCAUUAUAACUACCCUUAAAAAUGUUGCUGGUAAUGUUUUCGAUCAUUUAAUGGAUUUUUGUACACCUUUUGCAAUUGUAGGUUUUAAAAUUUUGCCCUUGUUUAGAUUUUAAAGGGAGCUGUUUCCUCCUCCUGCUAUCAUCCCCAAAUCCCCAUUGUUAUUUGGGCAUCUUUUCUCAGUGGUACAGCCAAAGGAAUGACCCAAACACUGGACAAAACUUUUUUUUUCUUUUUGUUUUUCUUUUUUUUUUAUUCUAUGUAGAGGGAAAAAAGCGACCCCAGAAUCAGUCUGGUCUGGAUCAUGAUGGAAGCUGGGUUUUUUUUUAUUUUUUUAUUUUAAGAGUGUGAUAGCAGUAUCAUAAGUGUUGAGAAAAUAUAAAUGGUGAGAUAACACCUCUGUAGGACUUUCUCUUAAGUAGUAAAAUUGUAAAGUCUUUAAAUAAACGAGAGCCAGACCCGAGAGGAUCAAUUUAUCUUGAUAAUGGGAAAUAUUUCAUUUAUUUUGUGUACAAGCACAUCUGCAAAAUAGAUGCAGAAUUAUAACUGAUAAAACUACAGUUCCAACAUUGUAUGAAAUGUACAACACUUCACAAUAUGAGACAAUAUGAAAGUGCCAAGUACUUUUAUAAUCUGAAUCUGCAAAAAAGGAACUUUCAGAAAUAGCCUUCAUGCUACAAACAGUUCAUACUGUUGAAAAUAAUGAGGAUGAUUCCUUCGUGUUAUAUCAACACAGUUUCCAUGCAGCUACUUGUCUGUGGAUAAGUCCCACUUUUUAUUCUUCUCUUACUUUGCACAUGGGAAGAUUUCGAUGUAUGCAGGAAGAAAUAAUUAACUAUCUAAUAUUUUAAAAUAUUUUAAGUAAAGAGAAAAAAUCCGUUAGAAAUCUGCUACAAAUAUAAUCUGAUGCUUGUUGUUCCUCUUUAUUAAAUUGCGAAAAACCUCCUCCGACCUUCAGUUUGUUUUUAAGCUUGUGGCAGGACAUAACAUGGUUUUUUUCAUGAAGUCUUUCCUUUACAUACACAUAACUGAAACUUCAGCAGUCCAACACACCUACUCCACCAUUUCAUUUUGAAUACAGCACAGUGAAGAAACCAGCUGAAUUCUGUUUGAGUGUGGGAUGGUAUUGUAGGGUACCUAAGGAACACUUACAUCAUAAAUAUGAUGCCUUGUUUUUGUUGUCCACUGUUUGUAGUCCUGCAGACGCUGAGAUUAACAGUGUUAAAUUUAACCUUGUCUGGUUUAAUGGUGUGCAAAAAAAUCAUCAUCUUUAUUCUGCAGAGCUGUGCCUAUGUCUUAUGCCAGAUGUUGGUUUGUCCCUUUGACUCAAAAUCCUACAAGUUUUAUAUUUUUGUCAUAGGGAGCAAAUAUUUCUGGAACCUAUGAAUAUGUUCUAAAGUUAAAAUGGGCAGGACCCUGGCUUUUUAUCUCCUUUUUUUUCUUAAUUAGGACUUGUAUGUCCCAGGACAUCUGUUGGUGGACACCCACCAACUUUGUUGUAAAUUUCUGGUAAUGUAUCUGACCUUUUCAAAUUAAUACUUAGUGUGUGUUGCAUAUGCCUGUCUGACUGCUUGAAUAGACAGGGAAAUAACUUGUCCAGUCUUUACUCUGGGAUAAGUGAACUGUUAGCCAGUUUCACUUCAGUUUCCAUCUGCUUCUCAUAUUAUCUUGUGGUAAAGUCAUAAAACAGAGUUGGGGAAAAGCAAUUAGAAAUAUUAAAGAAAAACAUUCUUCUUAGAUGCUGGUUUUUCCAGCAAAGAUUAGUGUGGACUGUAAAAAUCUUUGUAAACAAAGUGUUCUUUACUGUGCCAACCUAGCUAAUUAUCAAAGAAACCUUAAUAAAAAGAGUGCUCUGUAAAGAAGUUUUUAAUCAACCAUCAAAUAUACUAAGUCGGGGACUCAAAACUAAUUCUUCAUGCCUCCAACAUAAUUUGUAUGAUUCUGUAUCUGAAGGGAAUUACAGAAAGACUUGGAAUGGGAUUUUUAUUAAAAAAACGCAUGUCUGUCCAGUUUAUAGAUAAAUUAAGAAGGCUUAAAAAAGCCACUUUUUUGCUGUUCUGUAACUUUACAUAUGUCAGGACCUAAUUUCUCCUAGUUCUUUGUGUCGUGCUUUUUCAGGUGGGUAAGCUGGGAUAGGAAGACCCAGUGAAAUGCAGCUCUUGGAUCCAGGGCAGUGCCACAGGCUCUGGAGGUGCCAGGGACCAAACUCAGCAGCUUCUCUGAGCUGCUCAGGGCCAGAGAUGCUCCCUGCUGAAGAGUCAGUCCUUGGAAGGACUCACUCAUCUCUGGCCUCCGCCAAAAACCCCUCCUGUCUCUCCCUGAAAAUGUGGUCUUCCCAUCAUAGGCAGAUCCCCUGCACAUGCCAGCAUGCCCUAGUGAGCAGGUGAGAACUGGCAAAACUGAAUUGCUCUGUAUUCAGACAUGGCUGUUCAGCUUUUGUUCAGUUGACUGCAGACCUCUGUCUUGGCAAAGAUACAUUCUGGCCUUACAGACUUGGUUGAUUUAGAAAAGGUACUAAAUUGCAGGCUUGCUUCAGCAGUUAAAAUCUCUCUAUGUGGCUGUAAUGGCCAGAAUGUAAUGAGACUUCAAAUUCUCUGAACUGCGACCAACACUUAUUUUGCAUUUGCCUUGCAACAGAAAUACAAAGCUUUCUUCAUGAGAGAAAAAGAAGAUAUCCAGCCUUAAAUAAGUGUUGAGCUGUUCAGUGAAGUCUGUCUGAGCCGUACACUUGAGAAGAGAUCUUUGCUCCAUGUGCAUCUCCUUAGACAGAGCCUGUGGCACAGAGAGGAGCCUGUAGGGUAACCUAUGUCAGAUAUGAUGUCAUGAACCAUGACUGCUGCAGGUGAAAGAGGGGUCUGUGGCCAGUUUCCGUGGUAACUGGUAGGCACCUGCAGCUUGCUGACGCAGUAGUGGAUCUGUCCUUGUCUGUGCACAGAGCAUUCAGUGAUGGACAUAUGUAGCUGUCCUAGAAAAGCCUUGGCAAAGGGUUGAUUUGAUGGAGGCCAAGCCUUUUCCCCUUUCUUACCAGGCAUUUUCAUUUCCGUGGUGUUGAGCUCUGUUUCUCAGUUUAUUUGGCUUGUAUUUGGAAAUAUUGGAGAUAAAUUUUAUUGUUGAAAAUAUGACUUUCUUUUGUUUGCAAUUAAUUUGCAGACUGGCCCGAAUUUACUUCUUGUUUUGCUCCUGCUUGAAGUUUUGUUUUGGUACCUUGCUGCUUGCAGAAAGAAAGAAAACGUAUCAGCCCAUGAACUUCUAAAGCCAUGGAAAGCUGCUAUCUCCUGAACUCAUAAAGAUAGUACCAUACACAACAUUAUGAAAAUAUCAGUUCUGUUCUUUCUAUAAUGUGCAGUGUAUCAGGAAGAAGGUUUGUUUGGAUUCUUUAGUAUUCUGAUUACCUCUCAUAGCUGCUAAAGUGUUAAAUUACAAUAGUUUUGUAAUCCGAUCCUGUGUAUCUGCUCCUUUUGUGGUGUCUUGCUAUGCAUCCUGAAAAUUUGGUCAACAAUGCAGAUAUUGCCUGAGUGAGGAAAGACUAAGGCUUGUCAGACAUGGAGAUUAAUUCUUGGUUUGAGAUAUCUGCAACUAUUGAGCACUAUUUCCGACAUUAUUCUCCAAUGAGUAGUUUAAACACUGUUUGUGCUGCUGAGCCUUGACACAUUUCAUUUCAUGGAAGAGCCAUAGGAUCAUGGAAUAAGCUGAGUUGGAAGGGACCCAUCAGGAUCAUCAAGUCCAACUCCUGGCCCUAUUGGGAACACCCCUAUCACACCAUGUGCCUGAGACCAUUGUUGCAAGGCUUCCUGAACUCAGGCAGGUUUGGUGCUGUGACCAUUUCCCUGGGGAGCCUGUUCCAGUGCCCAGCCACCCUCUGGGUGGAUAUCUUUUCCUGGUAGCAAACCUAAACUAGCCGUGACCCAGCUUCAUGCCAUUUCCUUGAGGAGAGUGAAAAGAUUGGUACUUGCCCCUCUGUGAGCAAGGCAAAGCACAAUUUAAAAAAAAAAAAAUUCUCCACAUCCUGGAGGGUUUCUGGUUUCUAUAACUAAAUCUGUCUUGCACUCCUUACAUGACUGCCAAACAGAAGAGAUGGAUAAUCCAAGUUUUGUGUGCUCAUAUAAGGAAGCCUAAUAUGCUUUAACCUUCUUUCUUCCUCUCUGUUGUUAAGCAUCAGUAAUGUUAAAGCUAAACAGCUGGAAGCAGUUUUAUCACUUUGCAACAGUGCCUGGCCAUGUACCACAGACAGGGCCUUCUGAAGCCAGGGAAUGCUGGCAAUUGCAGUUCAGGCUUUUUUUCUUCACUGGGACAUCACGCCUUUAACCAAUCAAGACUGGUGAGUUAACAAGUGAGAGGGACCUCCUGUUGUCUUCAGUGGUUUUUUACUUCACAGCUUCCAGAAGAAAUGAUUACUACUACAAAAAAAAAAACCCAACCCAAAACCUCAGCACAGCACUUAAAGAAGUGCCUGUAGAGAGUAUAAAUCAUGUUAGACAGACCAAAAGCUUUCAAAAGCUUUGGAUGUUUUUCCCACAAAAAACAAAGGUCAUUUUUAGAAAUGUACUAAUAGGUAUGAUUUUUCUGAGAUGCUGGUGUAGGAAUAGUCAAUACAAAUAGACCAGAAAAGAAUGGAAGAAAUGUCAGAUUCACCCUUGAAAACCAAGAAAUAUUCUGAUAACCUAAUAACACAUUUGCCUUGUUGUGAGCUUAAACAGCUUAGUAAACUUGAGCUGUCCUGGUGUUUCCUCAAAGCUGUGCUUAUGCAUUUGGAUGACUUUAAGUCUAAAACACAUAGAUCUUAGAAACUGGGUGUGGUUGUUAAUAGAUACCUUUGAGCACAGGUUACAGUAUCUUCCCAGGUGGUAAUUAACUGGUUAACUUAAACCCAUUUUCUGCACACUUUCAUCUGGUUUUCAUGUAGGGUGUGGUGGAGUUGCCAGUGUGUAGUGCUGGGUGCUGUGCUGGAGACGGUUUUUAAAUGUUCGUAAUAAAUAAUAUGUUUGAAGUAGGUAAGAAGUCAGUUCUUUGCAAAGUUUCACAGUAUAAGGACACUGAAAUCUGUCAUUGCCACUUUCAGCAAACACUUCCUUGUCUUGUAAAUUAUUUUAGUGAAAGCCUAAUUAAUAAUAGCUGUGGACAAGCAGAUUAAUCUCACCUAGGGAUUGCCUGCAGCUGUUGGAUCACUUCCUCAAAAUCUUGCCAGUAGUGUCCAGGAUCCUAGAAGUCUUAAGAUCCCUAAAACAGGUACUUUCACUUCAUUGAGCAACUUCAUUGUUCUUAAAUGCCAGAGAUGUAGGUGG